rnacentral:rRNA from 1 species
UACGUAGGGCGCAAGCGUUGUCCGGAUUCACUGGGCGUAAAGGGUGCGCAGGCGGACUGGCAAGUCAGGGGUGAAAUCCCCGGGCUCAACCUGGGAACUGCAUUUGUGACUGCACGGCUGGAGUGCGGCAGAGGGGGAUGGAAUUCCGCGUGUAGCAGUGAAAUGCGUAGAUAUGCGGAGGAACACCGAUGGCGAAGGCAAUCCCCUGGGCCUGCACUGACGCUCAUGCACGAAAGCGUGGGGAGCAAACAGG